rnacentral:rRNA from 1 species
AUGGCGGAAGUUCUGGUGAGCGCAUCCACAGGGGCAAUGGGUUCCCUCCUGCGGAAGUUGGGAGCUAUGUUGACGGAUGAAUACAAGCUGCUCAAGAACGUCCGUGGGGACAUCAAGUUCCUCAAGGACGAGCUGGAGGUCAUGUGCGCGUUCCUCCUCAAGAUGUCAGAUGUGGAGGAGCCUGACGAACCAACAAAGUUGCGUGUGACGGCGGUGCGGGAGAUGUCCUAUAAGAUAGAGGACAACAUAGACAAGUUCAUGGUCCUCGUGGAACAGGAACACGGGUCCUCCUGUUCCGAGGCGGCUCAUGGCGUCGCCAAGCUCAUGGACAAGUGCAAGAACUUGCUGCCGGACAUCAAGACCCGCCGCAGGAUCGCCAAGGAGGUCAAAGACAUCAAGAAACAAAUUAAGGAUGUCAGCGACAGGUUUUCAAGGUACAAGAUUGACGAGCCCUCCUCCUCUAUGCCGGCAAAAGACAAGGUCGACCCUCGACUUCGUGCAGUCUACAAAGACGCCACAGAGCUCGUCGGAAUUGAUGGACCAAAGGAUGAACUUGUCAAGUGGCUGAAUGAGAAAGAGGGCCAAUCACUGAAAUCUGUCUCUAUUGUUGGAUAUGGAGGGUUGGGCAAGACCACGCUCGCCAACCAGAUCCGGGUCAACCUUGGAGCGACCUUCGACUGCGGGGCUUUUGUCUCGAUUUCACGCAAGCCUGACAUGAAGGCGAUAUUAAGAUCUAUAUUAUCACAAAUCACCAAGAAAGACGAUGCUUGCUCUAGAUUAGAUGAUAUACAACUCAUCAUCGACAAGAUUCGAGAGUUCCUCCAAGACACAAGGUACUUCAUCAUAAUUGAUGAUAUAUGGGAGUUAGGAACAUGGGAAACUUUGAAAUGUGCAUUUGUCAAGAAUACAUUGGGCAGCAGAAUAAUUAUCACAACACGUAUAGUUGAUGUUGCCAAAUCUUGCUCUCCUUCUAGUGAAGAUCUUGUCUAUGAGAUGAAACCACUCAGUGAGGCUGACUCAAAGAAAUUGUUUUUCAAGAGGAUAUUUGGUUGUGAAGAAAGCUGUCCUGAUAGCUUGAAAGAAGCUGCCAAUGAUAUUUUGAAAAAAUGCCGUGGUCUACCUCUGGCCAUCAACGCCAUUUCUAGCUUGUUGGCCACAACAAGGGAAACAAAAGAAGAGUGGGAUCGUGUGCGACAUUCAAUACGCUCUUCAAAGGCCAAAAGUGAUAUAAUAGAGACCAUGAAUUACAUAUUAUCUCUUAGUUAUUUUGAUCUUCCCCACCACCUAAGAAGCUGCUUAUUGUACCUGGCUCUGUUUCCUGAAGACCAAUUGAUUGAAAGGCAGCGGUUGGUACGCAGAUGGAUUUCUGAAGGCUUUAUCCAUGGAGAAAGUGGACAAGAUCUCAUGGAAUUAGGAGAGGAAUAUUUUCACCAGCUUGUGAACAGAAGUCUAAUACAGCCCGACAACAUAGGGUAUGACGGCAAGGCAAAGUAUUGCCGAGUCCAUGACACCAUCCUUGAUUUCCUAAUCGACAAAUCCUCCGAAGAGAACAUGUGUACCGUCCUAAAGAAACAAUGCAAGCCUAAUGGCAUAGUUCGUCGGCUCUCUCUAAUGGGGAAUGAGGAUGAAGAAACCGUGGAGCAAUUGGAUCUGUCACACGCUCGGUCAAUCACUGCUUUUAGGGAUAUCAAGCUAUUGCCUUCGCUUGGGAGGUCAAAAUGCUUGCGCGUGCUAGACUUGCAAGCCUGCAAUCAGUUGGAAAAUCAUCAUAUCAAGGACAUUGAAAGACUCUAUCAGCUGAGAUACUUGGAUAUCUCUUUUACAGGAAUCACGGAGCUUCCCAGGCAAAUUGGGGAGUUGCUGUAUCUAGAGACGCUAGUUACAUCCUAUAGAUUACGUGAGCUUCCUGAAAGCACAAGUCGGCUACAACGACUGGCACGUUUGUUUGUUGACCCCGGUUGUAAGCUUCCAGAUGGGUUGGGAAACUUGAUAAACUUGCAAGAGCUUGAUUGGGUUGAUGCCUUGCAGUUGAAGCAUGUGGAAGAGCUCGGCAAACUAACAAAUCUGAGAAAGCUGAGGAUUAAAUUGGACACUGAUGGGAUAGAAGGCAACAAAUUAGAACAGUCCAAGGAAAAGCUGGUGUCCUCUCUCUGUAAACUGGACGAAUGCGGCCUCCGUUCCCUGAGUAUUGGUUAUUAUCUGAGAGAAAAGGAUGGAGAAGAGCCGUUCCUCCCUCCUUUGGGUUGUAUCCAGGAGGUUUCUGUAUAUGGACAAGAUAUCAGCCGGAUUAGCAGAUGGCUCGCGUCACUUCCCAACCUACACAUGUUGUUUUUCGACUAUGUGAAGAUAGAGCAGCAGGAUAUUGAGAUGAUUGGAUUGAUACCCAAUCUGAUCGAUUUGUCACUGUCUUUACGCAAAACAGACGACGCUGGGCGGCUCAUCAUCAGGCGUGAAGGAUUUCAACAUUUGCAUAGUUUUCGGGUUUACGAUACUCGUAUGGGAGUUUUAAUGUUUGAACCGGGGGCUAUGCCGAGGCUCAAGGAGCUUAAACUCCAUAACUUCAUCGAAAAGCCCGAAUCUGGUGCGGUCGAUUUCGACUUUGGCAUCCAACGCCUCUCCAGCCUUGCUCGCCUCACUGUCAGCUUAUUCUGCGUUGGCUCGACGGCGGCAGAAGUAGAGGCUACGGAGGAUGCUUUCAAGAGCAUGGCCGAGGCGAACCCCAACCGUCCAAUACUGGAGAUGAUAAGAGUUAAUCCGCACCGCAUGUUCUGA